rnacentral:rRNA from 1 species
CCUACGGGAGGCAGCAGUGAGGAAUAUUGGUCAAUGGCCGGAAGGCUGAACCAGCCAAGCCGCGUGAAGGACGAAGGUGCCAAGCAUUGUAAACUUCUUUUGUCAAGGGACAAAAUCAGGCUCGAGAGCCUGACCGCGGGUACUUUAAGAAAAAGCAUCGGCUAACUCCGUGCCAGCAGCCGCGGUAAUACGGAGGAUCCGAGCGUUAUCCGGAUUUAUUGGGUUUAAAGGGAGCGUAGAUGGGUUGUUAAGUCAGUUGUGAAAGUUUGCGGCUCAACCGUAAAAUUGCAAUGGAUACUGGCAGCCUUGAGUACAGUUGAGGUAGGCGGAAUUCGUGGUGUAGCGGUGAAAUGCUUAGAUAUCACGAAGAACUCCGAUUGCGAAGGCAGCUUACUAAACUGCCACUGACAUUGAUGCUCGAAAGUGUGGGUAUCAAACAGGAUUAGAUACCCCAGUAGUC